UACGGAGGGUGCAAGCGUUAAUCGGAAUUACUGGGCGUAAAGCGUGCGUAGGCGGCUUGGCCAGUCAGAUGUGAAAGCCCCGGGCUUAACCUGGGAACUGCAUUUGAUACUACCAAGCUGGAGUGUGAUAGAGGGAAGUGGAAUUCCGGGUGUAGCGGUGAAAUGCGUAGAUAUCCGGAGGAACACCAGUGGCGAAGGCGGCUUCCUGGAUCAACACUGACGCUGAGGUACGAAAGCGUGGGUAGCAAACAGG
rnacentral:rRNA from 1 species